GACGAACGCUGGCGGCGUGCUUAACACAUGCAAGUCGAGCGGUAAGGCCCUUUCGGGGGUACACGAGCGGCGAACGGGUGAGUAACACGUGGGUGACCUGCCCUUAGCUCUGGGAUAAGCCUGGGAAACUGGGUCUAAUACCGGAUAUGACUCCAUGACGCAUGUUGUGGGGUGGAAAGCCUUGUGCGGCUAGGGAUGGGCCCGCGGCCUAUCAGCUUGUUGGUGGGGUGAUGGCCUACCAAGGCGACGACGGGUAGCCGGCCUGAGAGGGCGACCGGCCACACUGGGACUGAGACACGGCCCAGACUCCUACGGGAGGCAGCAGUGGGGAAUCUUGCGCAAUGGGCGAAAGCCUGACGCAGCGACGCCGCGUGAGGGAUGACGGCCUGGUU
rnacentral:rRNA from 1 species